rnacentral:rRNA from 1 species
GCUUGCUGGGUGGAUCAGUGGCGAACGGGUGAGUAACACGUGAGCAACCUGCCCCUGACUCUGGGAUAAGCGCUGGAAACGGCGUCUAAUACUGGAUAUGUGACGUGACCGCAUGGUCUGCGUCUGGAAAGAAUUUCGGUUGGGGAUGGGCUCGCGGCCUAUCAGCUUGUUGGUGAGGUAAUGGCUCACCAAGGCGUCGACGGGUAGCCGGCCUGAGAGGGUGACCGGCCACACUGGGACUGAGACACGGCCCAGACUCCUACGGGAGGCAGCAGUGGGGAAUAUUGCACAAUGGGCGCAAGCCUGAUGCAGCAACGCCGCGUGAGGGACGACGGCCUUCGGGUUGUAAACCUCUUUUAGCAGGGAAGAAGCGAAAGUGACGGUACCUGCAGAAAAAGCGCCGGCUAACUACGUGCCAGCAGCCGCGGUAAUACGUAGGGCGCAAGCGUUAUCCGGAAUUAUUGGGCGUAAAGAGCUCGUAGGCGGUUUGUCGCGUCUGCUGUGAAAUCCGGAGGCUCAACCUCCGGCCUGCAGUGGGUACGGGCAGACUAGAGUGCGGUAGGGGAGAUUGGAAUUCCUGGUGUAGCGGUGGAAUGCGCAGAUAUCAGGAGGAACACCGAUGGCGAAGGCAGAUCUCUGGGCCGUAACUGACGCUGAGGAGCGAAAGGUGGGGAGCAACAGGCU